CCUGCGAUGCCACCAAUGGUCAUGUAGUUGGGCUUGACCUCUCUCAUUCAUCUCUCUAUGGGUCUAUCUAUUCCAAUAGCACCCUCUUCCAUCUUCCUCACCUUCGAAUGCUCAACUUCUCUGGUAACCAUUUUUCAGGACGAAUUCCACCACAGAUAUCACAACUCACGGAUUUGGUUUCUCUUGAUCUUUCUUCCAACCGUUUUGAGGGCCAAAUCCCAUCUAAAAUCUCACUACUGCUGACCAAGCUGGUUUUCCUUGACCUCUCUGGCUAUAGGUUAUCCAAAUUUUCAAUCUUUCGGGUUUUCAUCCCAUCUUGAAAUCCCUAAUUUGAGAGCAUUUAUUAAAAACCUAUCUAGCUUGAGAGAAUUGCGUCUUGAUGGGGUGGAUUUGUCGGCUAAAAAGAAUAGGUAUUGGUGUCAUCACUUGUCAUCUGCACUCCCUAAUCUUCAUGUGCUGUCAAUGAGGAAUUGUUCACUUACAGGUCCCUUGGAUGCAUCCAUCUCAAGCCUUCGUUUCCUCUCGGAGCUCUACCUUGACUUGAACCAAAAUCUCACUUCCACAGUACCAACUUCUUUGGUAAACCUCACUUCUUUGACUGUCCUUAGUCUCCACUAUUGUGGAUUCCACGGAGAUUUUCC